UCUGAGUAGAGGGCUCUGGGUCUGGGUGUCUGGGUAGAGGGCUCUGGGUCUGGGUGGAGGGCUCUGGGUCUGGGUAGAGGGCUCUGGGUCUGGGUGUCUGGGUAGAGGGCUCUGGGUGUCUGGGUAGAGGGUUCUGGGUCCGGGUGUCUGGGUAGAGGGCUCUGGGUCCGAGUGUCUGGGUAGAGGGCUCUGGGUGUCUGGGUACAGGGCUCUGGGUCUGAUUGUCUGGGUACAGGGCUCUGGGUCUGGGUGUCUGGGUAGAGGGCUCUGGGUCUGGGUGUCUGGGCAGAGGGCUCUGGGUUUGGAUGUCUGGGUAGAGGACUCUGGGUCUGGGUGUCUGGGUAGAGGGCUCUGGGUUUAGGUGUCUGGGCAGAGGGCUCUGGGUUUGGGUACAGGGCUCUGGGUCUGGGUGUCUGGGUAGAGGGCUCUGGGUCUGAUUGUCUGGGUACAGGGCUCUGGGUUUGGGUACAGGGCUCUGGGUCUGGGUACAUGGGUCUGGGUGUCUGGGUAGAGGGCUCUGGGUUUGGGUACAGGGCUCUGGGUCUGGGUGUCUGGGUAGAGGGCUCUGGGUUUUGAGUGAGUCUGGCUGGUCUCUGGGUCUCAGGCUGGUUGUCCUCCUGCUGGUCCUCUGUGCUGCUCUCAGACUCAGUGUUCCUGUGUGUCUGCUGGUACCAGUGUAACAGAGGUUAAAAUAUCUUCCCUCAUAAUAUCAAAUUGGUUUAUUUUCUAUAGCUUAAUCUCAGUCAUUUUGUGACCAGACCAGUCCUCUACUCAGCGAUGUUGAGUGUCUCCUGGUACCAGCUCUACUCUGUCAUGUUGUGUCUCCUGGUACCAAUCCUCUCCUCUAGUUGUGUGUCUGCUGGUACCAGUCCUCUCCUCUGUCCUGUGUGUCUCCUGGUACCAAUCCUCUCCUCUAGUUGUGUGUCUCCUGGUACCAGUCCUCUCCUCUAUCCUGUGUGUCUCCUGGUACCAAUCCUCUCCUCUAGUUGUGUGUCUCCUGGUACCAAUCCUCUCCUCUAGUUGUGUGUCUCCUGGUACCAGUCCUCUUCUCUAGUUGUGUGUCUCCUGGUACCAGUCCUCUCCUCUAGUUGUGUGACUCCUGGUACCAGUCCUCUCCUCUGUCCUGUGUGUCUCCUGGUACCAAUCCUCUCCUCUAGUUGUGUGUCUCCUGGUACCAGUCCUCUCCUCUGUCCUGUGUUUCCUGGUACCAAUCCUCUCCUCUAGUUGUGUGUCUCCUGGUACCAGUCCUCUCCUCUGUCCUGUGUGUCUCCUGG
rnacentral:lncRNA from 1 species